GGAGGUAGGCCCUCCGGGAUCGCCCACGCAGGGGGAGGUCCCAAACCACCGCAGGUUGCUCCGGUGAAUGAGCCGGGGUGAUGAGCACUGUGGAAAAGGCGCACGAGAUGCGUCAGGU
rfam:Streptomyces sp. CB01580 scaffold41, whole genome shotgun sequence.